GUCGCCUUUGUAGCAAGUGCAGCUCCAGUUGCUUUUUUUUUCCCAUCAGCCAAAAUGGUUUCAUUAUAGGGGUUUUCAUAUUCCCUGACACAGGGCGUCAGGAGAGGAGAGAGCAGAGGAGCGGCAAGGAGCGCGGAGAGGAGGAGAGGAGCCAGAGAGGCCCGGCGCACAGCGGCUGGGCGCGUGCAGGAGACGUCGGUUUGAAGAUUUGAUGACUGCCUGUCUCGACCCCUUCGACUGUGGACACAACAAG